CCCGGCUUUGAGGGGAGGGAUGGAAUUGGGGUGUGAGGCGAGGGGCAUCCCCCAGAGGCAGGUGCUGCUCACCGGCUGAACUGAGACAAGGGGUCCAUGUGGUUCCCUGUGGCGAUGCGGCGGGACUGGGGCUCUUGGGUGAUUUACUAGGGGCCCUCCAGAAAAAGCCUCCACCAAAACGAGGAGCAGACAGCCAUGCCCUGCCUCGGCCAGCCAUGCCCUGCCUCGGCCAGCCAUGCCCUGCCUCGGCCAGCCAUGCCCUGCCUCGGCCAGCCAUGCCCUGCCUCGGCCAGCCCGCUGACCAGCGAAGGGUGAGGCACGCUACCCGCGCGCACUGGUUUCGGAUUCAGCGUCCAUGCAGGAAGGCGGUUGCCCUCUGUGGCCAGCCAGCGAGGUCAGAACCCGAGAGAUCCUCCCCGGAAGGGGUGAGCAGUUGUCCAGUUCUGUCCACCACAGGAAGGAUGGUUUUGUGAGUGAGGAAUCUGAUGGAGACUCAGGCCAUCUGGGAAUACCCACAAUUCCUGCCUCUGCCAUAUAGUUCCUCUGUCACCUGGGGAAAGUCACUUAAUUUGUCUGUGCCUCAGUUCCCCACCUGCAACAUGUGGAUGACAAUACUUCCUUUCUCCCAUUCUCAGUCUUGUCUCUUCAGAGUGUAAACUUUUCAGGGUAGAGAUUGUACGUUCAUAGAGUUCUUUGCAAAAUGAACUGCUUGGCACCUCCAGGUGCGAUUGUGUUACAAAUAAUAAAUGUGUUCAUGAAAUCCA